rnacentral:lncRNA from 1 species
UAAGCUAUAUUUAAAGGGAAUCAAAACUGUGUGAAUUCUGGAAAGUUUUCUAUAAGGAAGAAGCCGGGUCUGGGAAUUGGGGAUUCAUUUGCUAUCUGCUUCUGAGUCUCUGAGAGUAUCUCUUAACAACUGUGCUUCAGGUUUCACAGCAGGAAGACAAGGUGAGACUCUUACCAGACGAAGUAAGCUUAAUAGCUGAAUAUUUGCAGCAUGUUAAUUCAGGUGAAAUGAAAAGCUUUUGAAGUAGUUUUAACAUAGUUUAUGGUCAGACAUUCACCUAACUAAAAUAUUAAGCCUUUUUUUAAUCAAAUCGUUGAAGAAAAAGCAACCUUUUUGCUUUAGGAUAGAGUUAGGCCUGUACUUUGUGCUUCUACCAGAGUUUUCAGUUUCCGGAGCCUGUUAAUCAAAACCACAUUAUUUUGUUAAUUAUGUUAAUAUCCUGUUUUUUAAAGCUGUCUCGGCCAACACACAUGUAUAAAGUUUAGAGGGUUCUCCAUAGACUAAAGAUGAAUUCAAUCAAGUGGACAGGGAAGGAGAGGGUGUUGGGUCAAGACCACAGUACUGAGAGUAUACUUUGCUGAUUGAUGGGUAUGCUGAGUCAGAACAGAUGGGUUCCCUGACUCUGCUGCUGCUACCUCACCAUGACCUGUGCAAA